GAUGAACGCUGGCGGCGUGCCUAAUACAUGCCAGUCGAGCGAACAGACGAGGAGCUUGCUCCUCUGACGUUAGCGGCGGACGGGUGAGUAACACGUGGAUAACCUACCUCUAAGACUGGGAUAACUUCGGGAAACCGGAGCUAAUACCGGAUAAUAUAUUGAACCGCAUGGUUCAAUAGUUAAAGACGGUUUUGCUGUCACUUAUAGAUGGAUCCGCGCCGCAUUAGCUAGUUGGUAAGGUAACGGCUUACCAAGGCGACGAUGCGUAGCCGACCUGAGAGGGUGAUCGGCCACACUGGAACUGAGACACGGUCCAGACUCCUACGGGAGGCAGCAGUAGGGAAUCUUCCGCAAUGGGCGAAAGCCUGACGGAGCAACGCCGCGUGAGUGAUGAAGGUCUUCGGAUCGUAAAACUCUGUUAUUAGGGAAGAAAAAAUGUGUAAGUAACUAUGCACGUCUUGACGGUACCUAUUCAGAAAGCCACGGCUAACUACGUG
rnacentral:rRNA from 1 species